rnacentral:rRNA from 1 species
AGUGAACGCUGGCGGUAGGCCUAACACAUGCAAGUCGAACGGCAGCACAGUAAGAGCUUGCUCUUACGGGUGGCGAGUGGCGGACGGGUGAGGAAUACAUCGGAAUCUACUUUUUCGUGGGGGAUAACGUAGGGAAACUUACGCUAAUACCGCAUACGACCUACGGGUGAAAGCAGGGGAUCUUCGGACCUUGCGCGAUUGAAUGAGCCGCUGUCGGAUUAGCUAGUUGGCGGGGUAAAGGCCCACCAAGGCGACGAUCCGUAGCUGGUCUGAGAGGAUGAUCAGCCACACUGGAACUGAGACACGGUCCAGACUCCUACGGGAGGCAGCAGUGGGGAAUAUUGGACAAUGGGCGCAAGCCUGAUCCAGCCAUACCGCGUGGGUGAAGAAGGCCGUCGGGUUGUAAAGCCCUUUUGUUGGGAAAGAAAAGCAGCAGGUUAAUACCCCGCUGUUCUGACGGUACCCAAAGAAUAAGCACCGGCUAACUUCGUG